UCGGCUUUUAUUUCGUUUUUGCCACUUUUCCCACAUCGGUGGGAAAAGUGGCAUGGGAGCCUUGAGGUUCCUAUAAAGGAGCCUUAAGGCUCCAAUUUAAA